CAUCUGACCAACAUAUUGCUUCUUAUACACUUUACAUGUCAAAAGAUAGACCACGCACUUUGAAGCACAGUUUAAAUGAUGGUUCAUCAUUUAAACUGUGACCAUCAUUUAAACUGUGACUCAAAGUGCGUGGUCGAUCUUUUGACAUGUAAAGUAUGUGAAAAGCAAUAUGUUGGUCAGACG